rnacentral:rRNA from 1 species
CCAGCAGCCGCGGUAAUACGUAGGGGGCUAGCGUUAUCCGGAAUUACUGGGCGUAAAGGGUGCGUAGGCGGUCUUUCAAGCCAGAAGUGAAAGGCUACGGCUCAACCGUAGUAAGCUUUUGGAACUGUAAGACUUGAGUGCAGGAGAGGAGAGUGGAAUUCCUAGUGUAGCGGUGAAAUGCGUAGAUAUUAGGAGGAACACCAGUAGCGAAGGCGGCUCUCUGGACUGUACCUGACGCUGAGGCACGAAAGCGUGGGGAGCAAACAGGAUUAGAUACCCUGGUAGUCCACGCCGUAAACGAUGAGUACUAGGUGUCGGGGGUUACCCCCCUCGGUGCCGCAGCUAACGCAUUAAGUACUCCGCCUGGGAAGUACGCUCGCAAGAGUGAAACUCAAGGAAUUGACGGGACCCGCACAAGUAGCGGAGCAUGUGGUUUAUUCGAAGCACGCGAAGAACCUUACCUAAGCUUGACAUCCCAUUGACCUCUCCCUAUCGGAGAUUUCCCUUCGGGACAGUGUGACAGUGUGCAUGUUGUCGUCAGCUCGUGUCUGAAUGUUGGGUUAGUCCCGCACGGCGCACCUUGCUUUAGUUGCAGCAUUAGUUGGCACUCUAACGAGCGCAACCCUUGCCUUUAGUUGCCAGCAUUAAGUUGGGCACUCUAGAGGGACUGCCGAGGAUAACUCGGAGGAAGGUGGGGAUGACGUCAAAUCAUCAUGCCCCUUAUGCUUAGGGCUACACACGUGCUACAAUGGGUGGUACAGAGGGUUGCCAAACCGUGAGGUGGAGCUAAUCCCUUAAAGCCAUUCUCAGUUCGGAUUGUAGGCUGAAACUCGCCUACAUGAAGCUGGAGUUACUAGUAAUCGCAGAUCAGAAUGCUGCGGUGAAUGCGUUCCCGGGUCUUGUACACACCGCCCGUCACACCAUGGGAGUUGGGGGCGCCCGAAGCCGGUUAGCUAACCUUUUAGGAAGCAACCGUCGAAGGUGGAACCAAUGACUGGGGUGAAGUCGUAACAAGGUAGCCGAU